rnacentral:rRNA from 1 species
CAGCAGCCGGUAAUACGGAGGAUCCAAGCGUUAUCCGGAAUCAUUGGGUUUAAAGGGUCCGUAGGCGGUCUUGUAAGUCAGUGGUGAAAGCCCAUCGCUCAACGGUGGAACGGCCAUUGAUACUGCAGGACUUGAAUUAUUGGGAAGUAACUAGAAUAUGUAGUGUAGCGGUGAAAUGCUUAGAGAUUACAUGGAAUACCAAUUGCGAAGGCAGGUUACUACCAAUUGAUUGACGCUGAUGGACGAAAGCGUGGGUAGCGAACAGGAUUAGAUACCCCAGUAGUCCCUGUCUCUUAUACAC